UCAGGGCCGGAUGUGGAGAAGGAAUCUUACAGUUCAUAAACAAGAUCAUAAAAGAACAACUUGCUUUGUUACCACUUCUACUGAGGCUGUGAAACACGAGUUACUGAAAAUACUACACUGCAGCUUGUGUCCAUGAGGCUCAGGAGAAUGAGAUGCUGUGCUGCAAACAACUCAGAAGCAGGAAAGGAGAAGAAGGAGGGGAGAAAAUGAGCUGCCUCAGUAAUAUACCUCCUCUGACAAAGCUGAAAGUGCCUGGCUAUUUCUCAGCAAAUGAAAAAAAGUCUAAAGGAAUGAGGACUUGUGUGGCCUCCCCCAACCAAAAAAAUAAAAAAAGAGGAAAUUAGACUGUAAACUAUUCCUGAGGUGGAAGAAACACCAACAUGAAUUCUUGACAGAAAAAAAAAGUCCUUGUGCUGCUCCUCUGCCCCAUUUUGCAACUGUGCUAUCCUGGCAAAGACUUUUGGAUUAAAUCUACAGAUUACACUGGACCUGACUUCACUCAGAGACUGAAAUACGUGCCGCUCUCUUGAUGAGCAGAUACAUUACAUUCAAUCUAUCUAGCAGUUUUUGUCCUGCACAAGCCAAAUCUCCUUUCAACAUCAAUAUUAUUUAUUAGCUCAUGAGCUUUCCUCAUCACCAGGAGAUCUGAGAGCCUCUACAGACACUAGUGAGCCUAUUCUCAUACUGGGUGAGAGAGUGCUGGGGAAGUCAGAAGGAACCUGAAAUUUCAUGGAUGCCCAGUAACAGAUGUCUAGAACCUGUAUUCAAAGUAUGUCCAUACGAAAUGUUUAGUAAAGGUGAUUUACUCAGCAUCACUUAUCCCACUGUACAAAGAACACUGUCAUUUUAUGUGAUGAAAGUACUUAUUUACAAUGCUCUCCAGACAUACUCACAGUUCAUUAGAAGUCUAAUUGGAGGUAGGGGUCUUCUGUUUUAUCCCAUCUUUGGAAAGGCACUUGGAUAAAAAUGAGCUAAGAAAACCUGCAUGAGCUUUACAAAACAAAGUAACAAGGAACUGAUUUUAAUUACAUAUAGUACCCUUGAUUUUCUUAUUUAUGCAUCUCAAGCCACUACUCCUCCCCAUUAUUACAUUUCCAGGUCUCAAUGUUUUCAUUCAAAGUUUUGAGUGCUUCUGAAAACUCAGACCAGCCCCCACCUCCCCAGCUUUAGUGAUGCUGGGGAGCACAGACAUGUGGUGUGAUGCCACCUCAGCUGUGAAUAGUUAACACUGUUAUAGUUCAAAACUUCAGCCAGGAAUGCUACCUGUGAGGGCAGAGUGCCUUGGGACAGAAAGUCCUUGGCAGGAGCUAAACCGUAAUGAGCUUAAAAUGUACUGAGGAGUUCGGCAAAUACAAAGCCAGGUCACAGAAUAGGUAGCUGCAGAAAUUUUCCUAUGUGUAAUGUUUAUAAGACAAUUAUUUACAUUAUCUGGAUGGUUUUAAUUACAGGACAGUUCAGACCAGUUUCUUUAAGUUUUCCCAAGGGGUAAUUAGUCACCCUGUGAAUUUGCAUAUUUUCCAUUGCUCUAUCGAAGCAAAUCAGCUAUACUUAUUGGAAGAUUGACCUAGCAACCUCUGUUCUUAGCAGAUUAUAGUCUGAGUUUCAUCAUGACGUCAGCUAGUAUAUUAGCAAAUGUUCUGGUCUGUACUUCUAGAGCAAGUAAACUUUGGGCUCUUCAUUUAAAAUGUGAGAAAUUUUGAGACAUGGUAAAAAGGGGUAUCUUAUUCAUAGGGGAAAGUAGCAAUGAACUACUGCCCUACAGAUGUUCACAUGUUCACUCUAUCUCCUAAAACACAGUUUGCACAAGGGAAUAAGAUAGAGUGCUAGCCUGGAGCAGAAGUCACUUCUCCAUACCAGUUCUGCAGGAUUCUACAUACCAGGUUCAGCUGAUCCUGCUGGAAUUCCUUGCUGAGCCAAAUUUUGGCUCCUACAGACCAUCUGUGCACUGCAAAGACCCUGGCUCCUUGCCUGUCUGCUACAUUGCCUCCCAAAGUACUCACAAACCAUGCGGCAGUAAGUUCCAAAUUAGUUCAUAUACGUACCGAUAAAUUCAUCUGUACAAGUUAUGCCUUGUUUUUUAAAAUAUUAUCCAAACUAAAUUUAUAUCCAAGCAAUAAUACACAAGAAGUAGCUUGCAGAUCUUUGGGGUUAAAAUGGGAAUGAAUGACCUUGAGAAGACGUUCUUUGGAGGGAGAGAGGCAAUCCAGUAGUGGAACUUAAUCUGAAUCACAUUAAUUCAAUACUACAGGUGAACAACCUUUAGUGUAACAACGGCCUGACAACAAAAGCUAGAUAUUUACACCGAUGCUCUAAUCGUUAGUCUAUUUCUUUAGAUUUGCAUCAUGUACCCAGUUUUCAAACAGGAGAACAAUUGUUUACUGUAGGUGUCCUUUUAUGAAUCAUCAACAGUGAGUGAAGAUGUACUCUUACUGCAAUCAUUUAAUAAUUAAUUAGUAAUAGGGACAUACAUGUUUAAGUGUUUUGCAUGUCGUACCUUCUGUUCUUGUUUAACAGAGACAUUUCACAGCUUGUGAAUGCUGUGCAGAUAAUAUUUUCUUCUCUUUAAAAUAAAGGAAUAAGAUG
rnacentral:lncRNA from 7 species